GAUGAAGAACGUAGCGAAAUGCGAUAAGUAAUGUGAAUUGCAGAAUUCAGUGAAUCAUCGAAUCUUUGAACGCACAUUGCGCCCGCCAGUAUUCUGGCGGGCAUGCCUGUUCGAGCGUCAUUUCAACCCUCAAGCACUGCUUGGUGUUGGGGACCGGCUUGCCUUCAGCGCCUGCCGCCCCCGAAAUACAGUGGCGGUCUCGCCGCAGCCUCCUCUGCGUAGUAGUUUACAACCUCGCAUACGGAGCGCGGCGCGGCCACGCCGUAAAACCCCCUACUUUCAAAGGUUGACCUCGAAUCAGGUAGGAAUACCCGCUGAACUUAAGCAUAUCAAUAAGCGGAGGA
rnacentral:misc_RNA from 1 species